UACUAGAGUAGCACUCGCAUAUCAAUAAGCGGAGGAAAAGAAACUAACAAGGAUUCCCCUAGUAACGGCGAGUGAAGCGGGAAGAGCUCAAAUUUGAAAUCUUAAAGGGUUUCCCUUUACGAAUUGUAGUUUAAAGAAGUGUUUUCUGUUGAGGUUUUGGUAAGAGUUCUUUGGAAUAGGACAUCAUAGAGGGUGAGAAUCCCGUAUUUGACCUUUACUUUCAACUUUGUGAUACACUUUCAAAGAGUCGGAUUGUUUGGGAAUGCAGUCCAAAAUGGGUGGUAAAUUUCAUCUAAAGCUAAAUAUUGGCGAGAGACCGAUAGCGAACAAGUACCGUGAGGGAAAGAUGAAAAGAACUUUGAAAAGAGAGUUAAACAGUACGUGAAAUUGUCAAAAGGGAAGCGUUUGACACCAGUGUUGUUUUUCUGAAAAUCAAUUAAAGAACUGUUUAUGCUAAGCUGUUUAGACUUUAUCAGCUAAUCUGUUUAGUUUUGAGCUUUUCUUUAAUGCACUUUUCAGUUAACAAGUCAACAUCAAUUUCUUUUGCUGUAAAAAAGCUUGAGGAAGGUGGCUUGAGAUUCGUCUUAAGUGUUUAUAGCCUCUUGCCUAUGCAGUCGGAGAGAUUGAGGUCUGCAGCGUAGAUCCUUCGGGGCUAAAUGCAUUUGUGCUAAGUUAUAGCAUUUUAUAGACAACUUGUUGACUAUGAUUUGUCUUGUAGCUUACUCGCUUAUGUUAUUUUACCUACGCUUAGGAUGUUGAUCUCUCACAGUCGAGC
rnacentral:rRNA from 1 species